AGUCCUGUGGUCUAGCGGUUAAGAUUUCGCUCUUAUAAUGCGACGGUCGCGGGUUCAAUCCCCGCCAGGACUA
rnacentral:tRNA from 1 species